GAGCGCCGUAGCAAUACGGAGCGGCAGACGGGAGAGUAACACGUGGGAACGUACCCUUCGGUUCGGAAUAACUCAGGGAAACUUGAGCUAAUACCGGAUACGUCCGAAAGGAGAAAGAUUUAUCGCCGAGGGAUCGGCCCGCGUCCGAUUAGCUAGUUGGUGAGGUAAUGGCUCACCAAGGCGACGAUCGGUAGCUGGUCUGAGAGGAUGAUCAGCCUCACUGGGACUGAGACACGGCCCAGACUCCUACGGGAGGCAGCAGUGGGGAAUAUUGGACAAUGGGGGCAACCCUGAUCCAGCCAUGCCGCGUGAGUGAAGAAGGCCUUCGGGUUGUAAAGCUCUUUCGG
rnacentral:rRNA from 1 species